GGCAACCGUUCAGAAAACACCCAGAGAUGGGCAAGACAAGCACAAAUGAUGGAUGGAUAUAUAGAUGAAUAAAUAGAUGAGCCAAGGAGGUUAAGGAAGGGUAGCCAACUAAGAAGGACUAGUUCGGAGGGUCCAGACCAGUUUUUUCCAGCUGUGGUGGUCUACAGGAUGAGUAGAAGAAGUCAGGAACAGUUGGCCAAUUAAGGAG